AAAACGGAAAGUAGGAAAACCGUCCCUAUCGUACCAACAGAACGAUGCGAGAGACACAGCUUUAAGCCGGUAGACAUGUACUGUCAGAAUCAUGAUGAUAUUGGAUGUUACACUUGUAUGGCAGUAGAGCAUAGUGUAUGUACGAGACAACGAUACAACUGAUUCUGCGGACGUUGAGAAAGAAAUACAAGGGGUUGUUGAUGAACUUAAACAUCAACUGGACAAGAACCAACGGGAAGUUAAACGCCUUUUCAAAAGAAAAGAAGAAGAGGUUGAAAAAAUAAAGGCAUUUCGGGUGCAGAUAGAUCGUAGACUUGAUGUACUAGAAAAGAACAGUAUUGAUGAAACAGAGAAGAAAUACCACCCCUUAAUCAAGAAAAUUGAAGCUGACAGUUGUGAGUAGACAACACCACAACAAGACGUCACCUUAUCGCAUGAUAGCAUUACAUCAGCUGGUUCCAACACGUCACAACAGUAUGUUAAUAAGAAAAGGGGAAAGACAGUUACAGAAAAAGCAAAGAAAUGUAUAGCAGUCAAGAUGUUAGAAUUUACAAGACAAAACGUAGAUUUUGUAUGUAAUCAGAAGUUGCAGUCUUUGCUAGCCGAGUUAAACUGUCUUGGCGAAAUCGUACAAAAACAUGCUUUGUAUAAACUUGAAGAUAAGAAAUUGUACAAUGUGAAACAUGAUUCAGACACUCUUACUUGUCAAAUACGUAGUAACUGCUUACUUCCUAACGGAACUGUAAUAAUUGCAGACACAAGUAACAAAAAUCUUAAAUGCCUUGAUCCUUCCUCGUAUGCUGUAGAUGAAGUACUAAAGCUUUCAAAUGCUCCGUGGCAGGUCUGCACUACCGAAAGAAUGAAGUCGCUGUAUGUUUUGGAGGAAUUAGAAAAAUUCAAUUCGUGAGUGUAGAAGGGAGAUUGCAGGUAGCAAAGGAAAUAGAAACCGACAACAACUGUUAUGGUUUAGCGAAAUACAAAGGUUAUAUUUACGUUACUGACAGUAACACGACUUUGUUCGUCUACAACAUGGCGGGAACAAAGCUAAAGCAAUUCUUCAAAGAUCAGUCGGGACAUGCAUUGUUCGUUAGUAUCUACAGUCUUGCCUUAAGUUAUAACGGCGAGAGGAUUUAUGUAGCUGACAAUAAAUAUGGUUUGAUAGCACUCAACACGGAUGGGAAACUUCUGGUGAAAUAUAACUCUUCUGAAUUGCAAUCACCGAGAGGGAUUUGUGAAACGGAAAGUGGACAUGUUUUUGUAUGUGGCGAAUCAUCUAACAAUAUUAUUCAGUUUGCACCGAGCGGUGAGGUAGUUGGAGAAGUACUUUCACGGGUUGGAGGUAAAGGAGGAUGUCGGGUGGUUUGCUUUGAUCGUUUGCAUUCCAGGUAGCGGGAACGAAAUUGAAAUUUACAAUGUAGCUUGAACACGAUUUCACGGAAGGACACGAUACGCUCUUCAAUCGUAUUUUUUCCAAAGAGGUGUAUGUCUUUUGUGCUAUAAUCCCGUAAAAAGCUAUUUCGA
rnacentral:misc_RNA from 1 species